GAGCACGAAAACAAGAGGGCAGACAACCUUGUCCGUGAAUAAAAUGGGGUGUGCUUUCUCUGUCUCCAGCGCAUCAGAGUACGUGUAUGGUUACGCCACCGCCAAAUCUACCGAACCACAUGAUCAACACCAGCCGUCGAUCACGAUGAUAAUUAACCAAUCCCAGCCGUCUAUCCAAUUUAUCCUCCUAUAAAUACGUUAGGGUGCCUGCUUAUCAACCAUUCAAGGUUCACGCUACCAAUUAUUCUCUCUCCUCUCACAACCUCAAUGCGCAUCCGGAGUUCUUCUCCAGAUUUACCCUCCAUGGAUUGUUUUCUAUGUCGAUUUCCAUCGGAUUCGCGUCGAUCGUGCCGAGAUCUAUGCGUUGAUGUUGGUUUGAGAUUGUGAGGUGAUGGUUUGAGCUGCUUUUGAAUUCAGGCGGUUUUACCAGCUCGAGCUUCUGUGUUCGUCGCUCUUCGAUUCGAAUUUACAGAUUUCGUAGGCGGAGCUCUAACCAAAUCGGAAGAGAUUACAAGUAUCCGGCGUCGUUUCAGCAGCUGAUCCAAUUCGAUCUCGUGGUGGCUGAAGCAUGUUUAAUCUUAACCAAAGGGUCAUAGUUCAUGGUUGUAAUUUCAUGAGACUGAAGCUUUUAUCGUGGGAUUUGGGUUGGGGUUAUGGGUUGAAUUCAGAUGGAUGUAUAAGUUAUCGGGACGAAAGGCUCGGUGGAACCAACAGCAUGCUAUUAGGGUUACAGUAAGAACAAUAUGCAGGUUACGUCAUUAUAUACAUGUUGCAUGGCAUUAUCGUUGUGCAUGCUUUUAGCCAUGAAAACAUACCUGUCGCCAUUGUGCUUCUGGUGCAGGGAUGAAGCAAUCUUCUACUUCCAAUA